AAGAUCCUGAACACGUUGGCUACAAAAGCGGCAAAUUUUGCAUAUCGCAACACAAAUAUUUUCUGUGGCAUAAAUUUGUUCUUCAUCACGGGCAUCAGGAAGCUCGAGCAUCUUAAACAAUGCGGGCAAAGCACUAGAGCAGAUUUCAGCAUACAACUCUCCUCCAUGCUGAGCGGCUACUCCAAUACCGUACGAGGCAGCUUGUCGAAUUUCUGGUUCGCUACUUUGAAUACCUUCAGCUAAGUAAGGCAAAAAGUGAUCCUUGUAGUUCCAAGAAUCGGGUCCAGUAAAUUCAAUUAAGUCAUCCAUCAUGCAUAGAGCCCAU